rnacentral:rRNA from 1 species
GGUUGGGGAUGGGCUCGCGGCCUAUCAGCUUGUUGGUGAGGUAAUGGCUCACCAAGGCGUCGACGGGUAGCCGGCCUGAGAGGGUGACCGGCCACACUGGGACUGAGACACGGCCCAGACUCCUACGGGAGGCAGCAGUGGGGAAUAUUGCACAAUGGGCGCAAGCCUGAUGCAGCAACGCCGCGUGAGGGACGACGGCCUUCGGGUUGUAAACCUCUUUUAGCAGGGAAGAAGCGAAAGUGACGGUACCUGCAGAAAAAGCGCCGGCUAACUACGUGCCAGCAGCCGCGGUAAUACGUAGGGCGCAAGCGUUAUCCGGAAUUAUUGGGCGUAAAGAGCUCGUAGGCGGUUUGUCGCGUCUGCUGUGAAAUCCGGAGGCUCAACCUCCGGCCUGCAGUGGGUACGGGCAGACUAGAGUGCGGUAGGGGAGAUUGGAAUUCCUGGUGUAGCGGUGGAAUGCGCAGAUAUCAGGAGGAACACCGAUGGCGAAGGCAGAUCUCUGGGCCGUAACUGACGCUGAGGAGCGAAAGGGUGGGGAGCAAACAGGCUUAGAUACCCUGGUAGUCCACCCCGUAAACGUUGGGAACUAGUUGUGGGGUCCAUUCCACGGAUUCCGUGACGCAGCUAACGC